rnacentral:rRNA from 1 species
AGAGUUUGAUCCUGGCUCAGACCCNUNAANUGGCGGCAGGCCUAACACAUGCAAGUCGAGCGGNGGUAGCAAUACCCUAGCGGCGAACGGGUGAGGAAUGCUUGGGAAUCUGCCUGGUAGUGGGGGAUAACGUUCCGAAAGGAACGCUAAUACCGCAUACGUCCUACGGGAGAAAGGGGGGGAUCUUCGGACCUCUCGCUAUCAGAUGAGCCCAAGCGGGAUUAGCUAGUUGGUGAGGUAAAGGCUCACCAAGGCGACGAUCCCUAGCUGGUCUGAGAGGAUGAUCAGCCACACUGGAACUGAGACACGGUCCAGACUCCUACGGGAGGCAGCAGUGGGGAAUAUUGGACAAUGGGGGAAACCCUGAUCCAGCCAUGCCGCGUGUGUGAAGAAGGCCUUCGGGUUGUAAAGCACUUUAAGCGGGGAGGAAGGGCUUACGGUUAAUAACCGUGAGCAUUGACGUUACCCGCAGAAUAAGCACCGGCUAACUCUGUGCCAGCAGCCGCGGUAAUACAGAGGGUGCAAGCGUUAAUCGGAAUUACUGGGCGUAAAGCGCGCGUAGGCGGUUGUGUAAGUUGGAUGUGAAAUCCCCGGGCUUAACCUGGGCACUGCAUUCAAAACUGCACGGCUAGAGUAUGGGAGAGGAAGGUAGAAUUCCAGGUGUAGCGGUGAAAUGCGUAGAGAUCUGGAGGAAUACCGAUGGCGAAGGC